CUUUUUUUGCCCCUAUUUUUUUCCUUUAGGUUGUGCAGCCCAGGACUUGGCCAUACGAGGUAUAUAUGUUAUUGUUAAGGUCUUUGUGUGUGUUUCAUGUCUUUUAUUUGCCCCUUUUCUUUUCCUUUAGGUUGUGCAGCCCAGGACUUGGCCAUACCAGGUAUAUAUGUUAUUAUUAAGGUCUUUGUGUAAGUCUCAUGUCCUUUUUUUGCCCCUAUUUUUUUUCCUUUAGGUUGUGCAGCCCAGGACUUGGCCAUACCAGGUAUAUAUGUUAUUGUUAAGGUCUUUGUGUAUAUAUGUCUUGUCCUUUUUUGUCCUUAUUUUUUUUCCUUUAGGUUGUGCGACCCAGGACUUGGCCAUACCAGGUAUAUAUGUUAUUGUUAAGGUCUUUGUGUAUAUGUCUUGUCCUUUUUUUGUCCUUAUUUUUUUUCCUUUAGGUUGUGCGACCCAGGACUUGGCCAUACCAGGUAUAUAUGUUAUUGUUAAGGUCUUU
rnacentral:lncRNA from 1 species